UCAAAUGUCAGUGUUACUGUUAGAACCCAAGGAAUUAAAGAAAGUGUUGCUCUCAAAUUGAGUUUGCUCAUUAUUAUAAGUGUAAACCGGUGAUUUGAUGGCUUUAUUUAUUUCCAAGAUUUCCAAAAGAUCCAACCUUAACCCCUUCUGACAAACAUGGAGCACCUCGGUAUCCGCCCCAGGCUCGAACCCAUGUCCGGUCUCAAUAAUAUUAUUGGCGAAAGGAGAAGAGCACACAUUGCAGUCAGGAUGAGAACAUUUUAGUCUGUAAAUACCAGAUCUGUGUGUGACGGAGAUUUUAUCUUUGGUGUUGACUAGAGAUUUAGACAAAUUAUUCGAAGUUCUGAAACAAACACGCAGCCGCUCAUCGGAGUCCCUCGACAAACUCUUGGCAACCUGAUGGGAUAUGUUUUCAAAAUAUGAUAUGCUUCUGUACACGCCAUCGGUUUUGUAUAUAUAUGUAGCUUAUUUAAAUAUUUGUAAAGAUGUUGAAAAUAAAGAGACUUUUUAAUCUU